AUACUGUCCUUGGAUAGAAGACAUAUCAGAUAUUAAACUGAUAGGUAGGGUAAUAUGUUAAAUUGAUUUUUGUAACAGGGAGAUGGAAUAGGAGUUUGCUCCAUCCACUCCACACAUCGACCUGGUAUUGCAGUACUGCCAGGAACGGGGCACCCCCU
rnacentral:snRNA from 1 species